GUGGAUUAGAUACCCUGGUAGUCCGCACCAUAAACGAUGUGCACUAGGUGUUGGUCCGAGCGGAUCAGUGCCGAAGCUAACGUGAUAAGUGCACCGCCUGGGGAGUAUGCCCGCAAGGGUGAAACUCAAAGGAAUUGACGGGGGCCCGCACAAGCGGUGGAGCAUGUGGUUUAAUUCGAUGGUACGCGAGGAACCUUACCUGGGUUUGACAUACAGUGGAAUACGGCAGAGAUGUCGUAGCGUAGCAAUACGCCGCUGAACAGGUGCUGCAUGGCCGUCGACAACU
rnacentral:rRNA from 1 species